rnacentral:lncRNA from 1 species
UGACACAUAUUGUAACUUGUGGUGCAUUUAAGAUAAUAUUAAUGUUAAUCUUGUGAUUAACAGGGUUCCCACAACUUCUAACACAUCAAAUUCAAAGACUUUUCAAGGACUUUCCAGGUCCAAUUUAUAGUUUUAGACACGUGUCCAGGAUAUUUUCGGAAAAACACCGAGGAUUUUUAUAAUGAGAACUAGCAGGAUUUACAGCAGCUCACAGGGAGAGAGGCUCGAAUGUGUGAACAUUUCUCAAGUGUGCGGUGUCACCAUGAGGGCAGACUUUGUGCUCCCUGGCCUUCUCUCACACAGCGCAGCAAAACUCUAUUGUGUAAGUUGAGUGAUGGAGACGACAACAUAUUUACUACUUAAAGAGCUAAGUAAAACAACUUCAAUCAUUGCACACAACCUACAAAUUCAAGCGCUUUCAAUAAACCACUACUAAAAUAAUUUUCCCCCUCGAAUUUGCAGACUUUCGGGGAUUUCCAGGACCUAAGGGAUCCAUGGAAUAAGUCAUGUACUGGCCUUACUGCAGAUACAGAGAGAUUUACCAAGAUAAAUACAAGACGUGGCCACACAGACGCCCCCCCCUCCCCCUCCCCCUCUGUUCUUUCAAUAAGUUGUCUUCCUCUCAAGUUGUGGGCUUACAUCUUAAAAUAGAUGAUAGAUAGAUAGUUCCUGCAGCUGUCAUGUCACCUCUUUGUGUCUCUGUCUCCUUUAGUAUCUGGGGAAAUGGUACUUUAAAGCAACGGUCAGUCCGAGAGAGUCUGACAUCCAGAAGUUCAAAGACCUGGACAACAUGUGGAUCUCCAUGGAGCAGCCGGCAAAUGACACACUGCUGGUGACCGGACAUAUGCGCAGGAAGGCCGAAGCGGAGGACCCUGCUCUGGAGUGGCAAGUGGGCCAACUGCUCCGAGUGCAUCAUUUUCCAGGAAGUAGAACCACCUCUAAAGGAGACGGACUCAGAGGACUCCCUCAACAGAUACUUGCUGUACGGUAAGUUAUCUUUAAGGAAUAAUAACCCUAAUUUCAGACCUCUCCCAAACUAUUACCAUCUACAAACAGCGUGUCCUGCAUAACAUGUAAACAUUCCAAAACAACAACAUUGGAUGCAAAGCAUUUCGGUCAUAACGUUCUCAUUUUGGGGUGAACUAUUUCUUUCAAUGACAACGACUCCCGGAAAGGAUCAUUUAAACAAACACGUGUGAUGUGAUUGAAGUGAAACGCUCCACUGCACCAACAAAUCAAACUUCUUUGUCUUUCACCGCAGGCCGGCAGGGUGACGUCGACCACGAGGUGGUGAAAGCAUUUCUGGAAAACAUGUCUUGUCAUAACGUGUUGGCAAGUGUCAGACUUCCUCAAGAGAAAGGUUUGUCGUUUAGAGAACUAUAAUAUAAUAAUAUAUAUAUAAUAUAAUAUAAAAGAGGAUGCUUCUCAAUCUCAAAAUGUUUUUUUUUGUAAUCUAACAAUUAUAUUUCCAUUUACAGAGUUUUGCACCUAAAUAUUAACAUUGAGGUAGGCAUGAAUAUUAUAUCUUACUUCCAUUUGAAUGAUUUAUUUUACUUAACAUGUGCUGUCCUUGCUGGUUGAAAUAACCGUCUCUUGGUUCCACACAAGGUCUUACAGGAUGCUGCAGGAGCCGUGAACGUCCUGGACGACAAUACAAUGAUUUCAUCUUUUUACUGUGUAACGGUGAAACAAAUAAAGCAACAAUAAAAACAUUCCCUCAGGAAA